UGCGCUCUUUGCUGUCAGCAAAACAGCAUCGACAGAGGAAUGUAUCGAACACUGGAAUAGCACGAAUAAUUUAAUUGUCCUACAAGUUUCAGAAAGAGUUUUGAUACGUGACCCAUCAAGUUGAUUAUUUUUUUGUUUUUAUUUUGUUUAAUUGUAAAUACAGUUGCUAAUUUCGUUCGAAUUUGUGAGGAAAGUAAAGACAUCUAUACCAGUGGUGUUCAAAUAUGGUGGACAAGUUAGUUAACAGCGAAGCCAAUGCUCGACGGAUACAAAUGGUUGAAAACUGUUUCGGAACAUCUGGGCAGCAGUUGCUUGUUCCUGGGCGUGUACUAGUAGGCGAAGGGGUCCUUACAAAAAUGUGUCGCAAACGUCCUAAAGCACGACAAUUUUUCUUGUUUAAUGACAUUUUGGUGUAUGGCAACAUUGUUAUUGGCAAGAAAAAAUACAACAAACAACACUUAAUUCCCCUUGAGGAAGUUCAGUUGCAGGCGCUGGAAGAUAAUGGUCAGUAUAGAAAUGGUUGGCUGAUACGUACGGCUACCAAAUCUUUCGCAGUCUACGCUGCGACCCAAACAGAAAAACAAGAAUGGAUGGCACACAUCAACAAGUGCAUCGAAGAUUUAUUGCGCAAAAGCGGCAAAAAACCAGUCGAAACGCAUGCUGCGGUAUGGGUUCCAGACAGCGAAGCAACCAUCUGCAUGCAUUGUAAAAAGACUCAGUUCACUAUGAUCAACAGAAGGCAUCACUGUCGAAAUUGCGGAGCCGUUGUAUGCGGUCCAUGCUCGUCGAAAAAGUUUAUGCUUCCCGGGCAGAGUAAUAAACCUCUGCGCGUAUGUCUCGAUUGCUACGACAACCUCAAGUCUAUGAAGCGCGAUGGAAACAAAGCACUUGCCGGUAACAACAACAAACCAGCAAACUCUACUGAAAGCUCGGGCGAGGAUGAUUCAGGAGAUGACGAGGAAACUCUUAAGGAUAAUGUGACACACGAUGAAAAUUUUACGAUGCAUUACGCACAUGCAGCGUUAUGUGUGUAAUAAAUAUAAGAAAUCAAUGAGGAACAACGUUUUGAAGUAUAUGAAAAACGUAAAGAAAAGGUUGUACAUUAUUAUUUCUAUUUCUGCUGUAACUCUCCUGAAAGUUCAAAAGCCCAAAUUUUACGCCGAUGGUAAACUUGAAAAAUAAUAAUGUAAGUGCUUUAAUGAAUCCUUCAUAGCGUAAUGCUGGCGUUCGAGCUAAUAAAGUAAAAACUUUCUGGAGAACAAGUGGUAUUGCAUCAAAUAAUCGUACAUUCAGCAGAACAUGAAACAGACACCAAUUUCAUUUUGAUGUAUAACCUUAUAUUCAUUUUAGUAAUGGUAAAAUACAUUGGGUACCCUAUUAUAUAUAUGAUAUUCUUUUACAAUUACAAUGAAUGAUUAGCUUGAAACAACAACAGAAAGAUUAUUUUCUCUUGAUUUAUUUAAGUUAUAGAAAAAGUUAUAAAAAUCAAAAUAUUUAGAUAUUUCCGUAACUUGUAUCAUGCUGUUUCUUGAACAUGAAAUAUAUUUUACUUUUGUCCAAUUAUGUCGUAUAAA